UACGUAGGGGGCAAGCGUUAUCCGGAAUUACUGGGUGUAAAGGGUGCGUAGGUGGUUGCUUAAGUCAGAUGUGAAAGCCCGAAGCUCAACUUCGGGACUGCAUUUGAAACUGGGCAACUAGAAUACAGGAGAGGUAAGUGGAAUUCCUAGUGUAGCGGUGAAAUGCGUAGAUAUUAGGAGGAACACCAGUGGCGAAGGCGACUUACUGGACUGUUAUUGACACUGAGGCACGAAAGCGUGGGGAGCGAACAGG
rnacentral:rRNA from 1 species